GCAGCGACACUGUGUGUUGUUGGGUAGGGGAGCGUUCUGUAAGCCUGUGAAGGUGUGUCGUGAGGCAUGCUGGAGGUAUCAGAAGUGCGAAUGCUGACAUAAGUAACGAUAAAGCGGGUGAAAAGCCCGCUCGCCGGAAGACCAAGGGUUCCUGUCCAACGUUAAUCGGGGCAGGGUGAGUCGACCCCUAAGGCGAGGCCGAAAGGCGUAGUCGAUGGGAAACGGGUUAAUAUUCCCGUACUUGGUGUUACUGCGAAGGGGGGACGGAGAAGGCUAUGUUGGCCGGGCGACGGUUGUCCCGGUUUAAGCGUGUAGGUGUGUGUUCCAGGUAAAUCCGGUUCACUUUAACACUGAGGCGUGACGACGAGGCACUACGGUGCUGAAGCAACAAAUGCCCUGCUUCCAGGAAAAGCCUCUAAGCAUCAGGUAACAUCAAAUCGUACCCCAAACCGACACAGGUGGUCAGGUAGAGAAUACCAAGGCGCUUGAGAGAACUCGGGUGAAGGAACUAGGCAAAAUGGUGCCGUAACUUCGGGAGAAGGCACGCUGACACGUAGGUGAAGUGAUUUACUCAUGGAGCUGAAGUCAGUCGAAGAUACCAGCUGGCUGCAACUGUUUAUUAAAAACACAGCACUGUGCAAACACGAAAGUGGACGUAUACGGUGUGACGCCUGCCCGGUGCCGGAAGGUUAAUUGAUGGGGUCAGCGCAAGCGAAGCUCCUGAUCGAAGCCCCGGUAAACGGCGGCCGUAACUAUAACGGUCCUAAGGUAGCGAAAUUCCUUGUCGGGUAAGUUCCGACCUGCACGAAUGGCGUAAUGAUGGCCAGGCUGUCUCCACCCGAGACUCAGUGAAAUUGAACUCGCUGUGAAGAUGCAGUGUACCCGCGGCAAGACGGAAAGACCCCGUGAACCUUUACUAUAGCUUGACACUGAACAUUGAGCCUUGAUGUGUAGGAUAGGUGGGAGGCUUUGAAGUGUGGACGCCAGUCUGCAUGGAGCCGACCUUGAAAUACCACCCUUUAAUGUUUGAUGUUCUAACGUGGACCCGUUACCCGGGUUGCGGACAGUGUCUGGUGGGUAGUUUGACUGGGGCGGUCUCCUCCUAAAGAGUAACGGAGGAGCACGAAGGUUGGCUAAUCCUGGUCGGACAUCAGGAGGUUAGUGCAAUGGCAUAAGCCAGCUUGACUGCGAGCGUGACGGCGCGAGCAGGUGCGAAAGCAGGUCAUAGUGAUCCGGUGGUUCUGAAUGGAAGGGCCAUCGCUCAACGGAUAAAAGGUACUCCGGGGAUAACAGGCUGAUACCGCCCAAGAGUUCAUAUCGACGGCGGUGUUUGGCACCUCGAUGUCGGCUCAUCACAUCCUGGGGCUGAAGUAGGUCCCAAGGGUAUGGCUGUUCGCCAUUUAAAGUGGUACGCGAGCUGGGUUUAGAACGUCGUGAGACAGUUCGGUCCCUAUCUGCCGUGGGCGCUGGAGAACUGAGGGGGGCUGCUCCUAGUACGAGAGGACCGGAGUGGACGCAUCACUGGUGUUCGGGUUGUCAUGCCAAUGGCACUGCCCGGUAGCUAAAUGCGGAAGAGAUAAGUGCUGAAAGCAUCUAAGCACGAAACUUGCCCCGAG
rnacentral:rRNA from 1 species